UGGGGAAUUUUGCACAAUGGGGGAAACCCUGAUGCAGCGACGCCGCGUGAUUUAGAAGGCCUUCGGGUUGUAAAAAUUUUUUCUAUGGGAAGAAAAUGACAGUACCAUAGGAAUAAGGACCGGCUAAUUACGUGCCAGCAGCCGCGGUAAUACGUAAGGUCCGAGCGUUGUCCGGAAUCAUUGGGCGUAAAGGGUACGUAGGCGGGUAAGCAAGUUAGAAGUGAAAUCCUAUAGCUCAACUAUAGUAAGCUUUUAAAACUGCUCAUCUUGAGGUAUGGAAGGGAAAGUGGAAUUCCUAGUGUAGCGGUGAAAUGCGCAGAUAUUAGGAGGAAUACCGGUGGCGAAGGCGACUUUCUGGCCAUAACCUGACGCUGAGGUACGAAAGCGUGGGUAGCAAACAGG
rnacentral:rRNA from 1 species